UGGGGAAUAUUGGACAAUGGGGGCAACCCUGAUCCAGCCAUGCCGCGUGUGUGAAGAAGGCCUUCGGGUUGUAAAGCACUUUCAGCGAGGAGAAAGGUUGUUGGCUAAUACCCAGCCACUGUGACGUUACUCGCAGAAGAAGCACCGGCUAACUCCGUGGC
rnacentral:rRNA from 1 species